rnacentral:rRNA from 1 species
ACGAACGCUGGCGGCGUGCUUAACACAUGCAAGUCGAACGGAAAGGCCCUGCUUUUGUGGGGUGCUCGAGUGGCGAACGGGUGAGUAACACGUGAGUAACCUGCCCUUGACUUUGGGAUAACUUCAGGAAACUGGGGCUAAUACCGGAUAGGAGCUCCUGCUGCAUGGUGGGGGUUGGAAAGUUUCGGCGGUUGGGGAUGGACGCGCGGCUUAUCAGCUUGUUGGUGGGGUAGUGGCUUACCAAGGCUUUGACGGGUAGCCGGCCUGAGAGGGUGACCGGCCACAUUGGGACUGAGAUACGAGCCAGACUCCUACGGGAGGCAGCAGUGGGGAAUAUUGCACAAUGGGCGGAAGCCUGAUGCAGCAACGCCGCGUGCGGGAUGACGGCCUUCGGGUUGUAAACCGCUUUCGCCUGUGACGAAGCGUGAGUGACGGUAAUGGGUAAAGAAGCACCGGCUAACUACGUG